AAGUGUGUUUCUAAGGGCUGGGGCUGGUUGUAGCCAUGGCAUCUCCAAUUGCACUGCAUGCCAGAGUAACAGUGCCUGCAGCUGCCACUCAGUUUCCUAUAUAU